GCACGCAAACACGCACAAAACAAACAACGCAGAUCCCACGUCGCCCGCCAGCGCGGCGAGAAACAUCCCUGCCCCCCUCAUCUCUCUCCACCGCUGCGUUAGCAGUUUCACGUCAUGCAAGCUCCCAGAUGUGGAGCGUGUCGGGUGAGGCCACCCUGCAGGUCAGAUUUGGUUUGCGUGUGUUUUUUUUUUUUACAGGCGACGCUGUGUGUGCGACAUGAAGGGGAUCAAUCCGUCAGAGCGUCUGCAGGCGGACCAUCUGCUCCCCGGCCUUCCUUCGGCAGCGGUGGUCUGUUGAAGUUAAUCCUUUACUUCCCUUUUUUUCUUUUUCUUUUUUUUCUAGGUUGCGGCAAACACGUUGGAAUCAGACAAAGAUUUUCCCGAUUCAAUUCGGAUGCAUUCAACAAUACAUCAACAUAUACAAACACGGAGGUCAUAAGCAGGCGGCCACAACAAAAAGCAGAGCAUCUCAUGUGACCGCCGGUGGAGCUGAAUGCUCAGGCGGAGCUGCUGUCAGCAGGCUGUCAAUGCGAGCUGCUGAUUAAACUGCUGUGAGGAACAAAGCCCCCCAACACAAAUACACACACACAAACACACACACACACACACACACACACACACAUUUGCUCUCAGAGUAAACAUACAGUGUUUGGCCACCUGAUGGAGCCUGACAUUGAGAGGUAUGUGUGGGUGUGUGUGUGUGUGCAAUGAUGGUCUCUUUGUAUGUGUGCGUUUGAUUUCACUGUCUGCUUGUUCGGAGCGCUACUGAAACUGUGUGUUUGCCCAUCUCGCACAACGUGUAGCCACGGAGCAGGGAGGGGGAAGUCAAUUUAAAGGGGCUUCUUUAUUAGCUGUGGCAGGAGGGGAUAAAAGAAAACCAUCAGUACGGUAAUCACAUGGGAGACCACGGAAUUCAUCGCAAUAAAACAACAAAAACAACAAAAAAAAGCCCGUAAAACUCUGAUUGUGUGAGGUGGAAUGAAAGGAGGAAACACUAACAGGGCGUGCACCAGGAAAUGGAUAUGAAAAAAACAACAACAAAAAAUGUUUGCACUGCGAGGAAGCAGGACACAUCUGGAGAACAUUUUGCAUCACAGCAAUAAAAGUUUGCAGCUCACGAAGCAGCUCAGCAGAGAGGCCGACGUGGCUGCGGCUCGGCUCCAGAGGUAAUGUGAGAGAAAAAAAGAGGACCGUCGUAGACAGAAUGCGAGGAAGGGGAGCACGACGUUUUCUCAUGGCUGGCUUUUUCAAAAACAAUAUCUGCUGACUGCACGUUUGGAGUGUCUGGACGCGUAUUGGAGGGGACAGGGGAAGAUGUAUUCCUGCGCUGCCUUUAGCCAACGCUUCACAUGGCAGCUUUAAGAGCUAAGACAUGAUGGACGAUAGGGAGGGUUUCCUGGCUCCGAGGACAGGACGUCCUCCAAAGCCACGUCCUUUUGGUUCUGAAGGACACCGGUUUCUAUUUUGGAUGUUACCCAACGAGGUUUUUAUAAGAGCCCGUCCCCUCGCGAGGCAGACAUCCUGGCACAAAAAGCUCUUUCUUUCUGAAUAAACCAUUGUGGGCUGCGACCUUUUGCAAAAUGAGGUAAAAUAGGAUGAGGGUGAAAGGUCACUGGUUAGUUUUAUAGGAGCAUUUCAUUGAUCUACUCAAAUAUGAUUUCAUUCUUAUGAUUUUACUCAAAUCCUUUUUUCACAUUCAGGUAGUCAUGUGAUCCAAUGUAAUACGAAUAGCUGCGUUAUAGUCGUUUUAACACAAAUAUAUUUUGACAAUCACUGCAAUAACUAACUCCAUUUUAAAUUGACAUUUGUAGCCUCAUUAUAUUUAAACAAGCUCUUCUAACUUUGAAUGCUAAUUAUAUUUAAAUAUUAUGUAUGAAUAAGUGGGGAGGAAGGCCCAGCUGUACUUUUUAAAUCCAUGUAAACAAACUGGUGACAGUCGGCUUCAAGACCAGAUCCCGCUCAGCAGAAUCGAGAGUUUCGGUGAAAAGAGAUAAAUUAUCCGCUUUACAGCAUUUUAUGAAUCAGCGGCACUUGGGCAUCGGGCCCCGGGGAUGAUUGCCGUCGCACGAGUCUCAAUGCAACAGUUUCAAUGUCUUUCUGCAUCCAUUUCGCCCGGAGAAGUCUCGACAGCGAACAAGCAGCCAGCUGGCAGACUUCAGUCUCUCCUGAUGCAUGAUGGGAAAUGCACGGUGGGGUGCUGUGGAGUGCUCUCCCUGCAUAAAGGUUGAGGGUUUAUCGGGGGUUCUUUGAAAAAUAAUUAACUGUCAGGAAUUUUGUUGUAUAAUGCAAUAAAAGACCUUUAACCUUUAAGAUAGAUAUUCUUUUCCCAUUUCACAACACAGACCUCGCCACAGAGCCCUUUUUUAUGCAAAUGGUGCAAAUGUCAAUUUAGCUGCCAACACAGCUGAAAAAUAAAUGCAG
ensembl:lncRNA